rnacentral:rRNA from 1 species
AGUGAACGCUGGCGGUAGGCCUAACACAUGCAAGUCGAACGGCAGCACAGUAAGAGCUUGCUCUUACGGGUGGCGAGUGGCGGACGGGUGAGGAAUACAUCGGAAUCUACUUUUUCGUGGGGGAUAACGUAGGGAAACUUACGCUAAUACCGCAUACGACCUACGGGUGAAAGCAGGGGAUCUUCGGACCUUGCGCGAUUGAAUGAGCCGAUGUCGGAUUAGCUAGUUGGCGGGGUAAAGGCCCACCAAGGCGACGAUCCGUAGCUGGUCUGAGAGGAUGAUCAGCCACACUGGAACUGAGACACGGUCCAGACUCCUACGGGAGGCAGCAGUGGGGAAUAUUGGACAAUGGGCGCAAGCCUGUUCCAGCCAUACCGCGUGGGUGAAGAAGGCCCUCGGGUUGUAAAGCCCUUUUGUUGGGAAAGAAAAGCAGCAGGUUAAUACCCCGCUGUUCUGACGGUACCCAAAGAAUAAGCACCGGCUAACUUCGUG